GACGAACGCUGGCGGCGUGCUUAACACAUGCAAGUCGAACGGAGUUGAGGAGCUUGCUCCUUAACUUAGUGGCGAACGGGUGAGUAACGCGUGAGGAACCUGCCUUUCAGUGGGGGACAACAGUUGGAAACGACUGCUAAUACCGCAUGAUACUAUCGGGCCGCAUGGUCUGGUAGUCAAAGAUUUAUUGCUGAAAGAUGGCCUCGCGUCUGAUUAGCUAGUUGGUGGGGUAACGGCCCACCAAGGCGACGAUCAGUAGCCGGACUGAGAGGAUGACCGGCCACAUUGGGACUGAGAUACGGCCCAGACUCCUACGGGAGGCAGCAGUGGGGAAUAUUGGGCAAUGGGCGAAAGCCUGACCCAGCAACGCCGCGUGAAGGAAGAAGGCCUUCGGGUUGUAAACUUCUUUUACCAGGGACGAACACAAUGACGGUACCUGGAGAAAAAGCAACGGCUAACUACGUGCCAGCCGCCGCGGUAACAC
rnacentral:rRNA from 1 species